rnacentral:lncRNA from 1 species
UGACAAUCACCUUCUUUAGCCACCCCACCUUUAGGCUUUAAAGCCUGUUUGGUUCUGGGAUUAGGUUUAGCGCCAGAUUUAGAUCCUAUCUUCUUCUUGGCCUUCCAAUUUCCCUUAGCAUUACCCUUUUGUACCAUCAUUUUGGUAGCGGGUGCUGCCUUUCUCAUGUUGUUCUCAGUAGUUCUUAACAUGCUCAAUAACUCAGUAAGGG